rnacentral:sRNA from 1 species
CACGUCAUUAGAAACCACAGUGAUGCA